rnacentral:rRNA from 1 species
CAGCAGCCACGGUAAAACGAAGGGGGCUAGCGUUGUUCGGAUUUACUGGGCGUAAAGGGCGCGUAGGCGGACUGAUAAGUCAGGGGUGAAAUCCCAAGGCUCAACCUUGGAACUGCCUUUGAUACUGUUUGUCUUGAGUUCGAGAGAGGUAAGUGGGACUGCGAGUGUAGAGGUGAAAUUCGUAGAUAUUCGCAAGAACACCAGUGGCGAAGGCGGCUUACUGGCUCGAAACUGACGCUGAGGCGCGAAAGCGUGGGGAGCAAACAGGAUUAGAUACCCGGUAGUCCCUGUCUCUUAUACA